rnacentral:rRNA from 1 species
UACGUAGGGUGCGAGCGUUAAUCGGAAUUACUGGGCGGAAAGCGUGCGCAGGCGGUUAUGUAAGACAGAUGUGAAAUCCCCGGGCUCAACCUGGGAACUGUAUUUGUGACUGCAUGGCUAGAGUACGGUAGAGGGGGAUGGAAUUCCGCGUGUAGCAGUGAAAUGCGUAGAUAUGCGGAGGAACACCGAUGGCGAAGGCAAUCCCCCUGGACCUGUACUGACGCUCAUGCACGAAAGCGUGGGGGAGCAAACAGGAUUAGAUACCCUGGUAGUCCACGCCCUAAACGAUGUCAACUGGUUGUUGGGAAUUAGUUUUCUCAGUAGCGAAGCUAACGCGUGAAGUUGACCGCCUGGGGAGUACGGCCGCAAGGUUGAAACUCA